GAAUUGAAGUGAAAAUCCAAAAGGAAGAAGAAAAAGAAUAAAUCUUUGCUUCUCAACUCAAAUACUGUACAAUAUUUCCUUUUUCUUAUUUUACAUUUUUUUUUUAAUUUUUCUCAGCACUCUGAAUAAAUCACUGUAAAACCCUUCAAUAAAGAAAUGCACAACAACAGCAAUAUUAGACCCCACUGCACGUUCUUCCAAACUCAAUUCUCCGACAUGUCAAACGUCAUAGUUCUCGACAACGGCGGGGGCUAUAUAAAAGCCGGACACGGCGGCGAACGUGAUCCAGUAACAAUUAUCCCCAACUGUGUCUACCGUCCACUCUCCUCAAAAAAAUACCUCCACCCAUCGUCCAGCACCACCACCGAAGACCUCACCUCCGCCGUAAUCCGCCGCCCAAUAGACCGUGGGUACUUAAUAAACCCUGACCUCCAGCGCGAUAUCUGGAAUCAUGUAUUUACUUCACUUCUCCACGUAACUCCUUCAAGUUCUUCUCUUUUAUUAACUGAGCCGUUAUUUACUCUUCCGUCUAUUCAGCGUGCUACUGACGAGCUUGUUUUUGAAGAUUUUGGGUUUAAUUCCUUGUUUAUUACUGAUUCACCUAAGUUGGUUCAUCUUUAUGAGGCAAGUAGAAGGCCUUAUGGCUUAGUUUCUAAAGCUCAGUGUAGUUUAGUUGUGGAUUGCGGGUUUUCUUUUACUCAUGCUGCUCCGGUUUUUCAGAAUUUUACGCUUAAUUAUGGUGUCAAAAGGAUUGAUUUGGGUGGGAAAGCUUUGACCAAUUAUUUAAAGGAGUUGGUUUCUUAUCGGAGUGUUAAUGUUAUGGAUGAAAGCUUUAUUAUGGAUGAUGUUAAAGAGAAAUUGUGCUUUGUUUCGCUUGAUAUUGUGCGCGAUUUGCAGAUGGCCAGGAAACGUGGGAGGGACAAUCUUUUGCGGUGUACUUAUGUUCUACCUGAUGGUAUCAACCACACUAAGGGUUUUGUUAAAGACCCAGACGAAGCAAAGAGAUAUCUGACUGAUGGAGCUACUGCAUCUCUACAAACAAACAAGGGUAUUGAUCAACCAGAAGUUUCAGAGAAGCUUGAGGAGAGAAAGAGAACUGACUUAUCAAAAAAUGAGUUUGACUUGACAAAUGAACGGUUCCUUGUUCCAGAAAUGAUCUUCCACCCUGCAGAUUUGGGUUUGAACCAAGCUGGAUUAGCAGAGUGCAUAGUUCGAGCAGUUAAUUCCUGCCAUCCUCUUCUUCACCCUGUACUCUAUGAGAGCAUAAUAUUGACUGGUGGAAGCACAUUAUUUCCCAGAUUUUCUGAGAGACUCGAAAUGGAGCUCAGGCCUCUUGUCCCUGAUGACUAUCAAGUGAAAAUAACCACACUAGAAGAUCCCCUACUAGGUGUAUGGCGAGGUGGAUCACUUUUGGCAUCAAGUCCUGAUUUUGAAGCUAUGUGCGUCACCAAGUCUGAGUAUGAGGAACUUGGAUCUGCGCGAUGUCGCAGGAGAUUCUUUCAUUAAGACCUUGAAACUGCUGAUUGCUGAAGGUAUCACAAGGCCUUACAGUCAUACGUUACGCUUUAUGUGACAUUGAAGCAGAAUCAAGGAAAUGCAGUGGGUGCUCAACUUUCUCCUGAGCCUUCGUGGUUCAUGCUGCCUGUUUGGCUAGCAUCAAAGCUCAAUUGCCUGAUUCGACUUGUUAUGAUCAUGGGGUUGAGAGGUUAAAGGUGUUACCUUUUGACUUCUUGCUUGCCAGUGGAAGGGUACUUUAUUGAAUGUCAUUAUGACUGCUGGCCUUAUUGAAUCUCUGCAAGCAGAUUGACAUGUCUCGUCUCUGGUGUUGAGCAAUGGUGACUCCCAGUUGUAUUUGCAAGAUAAUUCCUGUUUGUUGGGGGUGAAUUGGGCUAGAGAAGUCUUAAUUUUCUUUUUUCUUUCUGUAACUUGUCAAAGUAUUCUGGGCGUUGCACAUAAGAGUCAGAUGUUGUCACAUUUCAUGUCCAAACCAUCAGCAUUCUGAUGAGAAUGCAGGUGUUCCUUGGUGUACAAAGAGUUGUGAAAUAAAUUUUUUU